ensembl:processed_transcript
CAUGUCCCCUGCAACAGAAAAAAAAACCCUCUCAUUUGGGACUGAGGUUUCUGGGACAGAGAGAUAUGAUUUAGCCAAGGUUGACAGCAGUGGGUAACUUUGUGCAUUGUCUUUCCACCAAUUGAGAGGACAAGCCAUGAGUGAGAUAGAGGUCUCUUUGCGGUACAAGCUAAUGUCUGCAUCAAUCUAACAAGUGUGCUGUGUUCUGCAGUCCCCAUGCCUGUUUUUAGUCGUAUUCCCCGACUUAUAUUUCACCACAGUCUGGCAGUGCCUGCAUACCGUUUUUUUCUUUGUCUGUCACCUUUUCUCCUUUUUCGUAUCUUUUUAGAAAGAAACCGAAAUGCUUCCACACAUCCGAUUUAAAACCCGCUUUAGGUUCGAUUAUUUCCAGCUCUUUUUCUUCCCUGCUACUAGCAACACACUCCACUUCCGCAUUACUGGAUCUGUAGUGACAACAGACCGCAAAGGAUGAUGGCCACGCCUGGGCUGAUGGGGAUUGUAGUUCCCGCUACCUCCCGUUCGCUUCAUUCGCCUAAGCAAACUUUUCUCAGGAAUAUAGAUUUAUUGAGUCAUGCGCCUACGGUAAUAUUGAAAAAAAUGACUAUUGCGGUAUGACGGUAUUUACAAUAUUGUUACAUCCCUAUUA